rnacentral:lncRNA from 10 species
CGCCACUGCUCUUUCAACGGAGGAGGGAGGCAGAGGGCUCACGGAUCAAUGAACUUUCAGCUGACACCACGCUUUGAGGGCCAUGGGAUCAUUCUGUGCUGCAGCGAGGACCUGCCUGCCUCACCAGAUGUGCUGAGCCCAUCCUUUCUAAUCCAGAGGGGUCCAAACUAGGAUCUGAAGAGGAGUCCUGAGAACCCAGCAGGUGCCCUGAAGAUCCCCCUCCAUCGGUGGAAGUCGGCUCAAGGAGGUCCUGAAGACUGGACUCCUGGGGGUUUGGCCCGGGGACAGGAUACUCAAGGACUCCUCUCCCACCCCGCCCCAAACUGGACCUCAGCCCCCACGCCACAGCCCCCACUUUCUCCCCAGAGCUGAGGGACAGAGAAUUGCGACUAGAAAUUCGAUCGAUUGCUACGAGGGACCACGUGGCCAGGGGCUGGCCAAUGACCAGGCCGCCCAGGAUGAGUGCACCCGAAUCCCCUAUUCCUUAUUUCCCGUAUCACUCAGGCACUGGCAGCGUCCUUUGCCCACUCCUGUUGGCCGCGGCGGCUCCAAAGCGAGGUAAGCUGAUGUGCCUGAGACAGGUUUGACCAGGCAACUGAAAAGAUAUCCCUAAGAGAAGACAAAGCAAAGGUAUGAAAGGAACACACGUCCCUGACUGACUAGGAGGAACAGAGCUGCCUGCUGUCUGGAACCGCUUCCUCCCAGACUAAGAGAGAA